rnacentral:lncRNA from 1 species
AUGGAGGCAGCACUUGGCUACGCUCUGGCCCACUUCCCAGAGGAGGUCACUCGGCCCCAGGGAAGUCCCUGGUUUGCUGGUUUAGAUGCUGUGAAGGGCCAGGCAACAGAGACUUUGGCCUAUUGGCAUCUGGUUCCAGCCAAAGCUUUUCAGGCAAGGAGGAGGAGGAGCUGUGGGGUUGGCAGAAGCCGUGAAAAAAACAGACUGGAGCUCGCAGUCUGCGGCCUUGCUUUGAAACCCACAGCUUCAGGGCGCCCGGGUGGCCCAGUCGGCCUCGGCCACCUGGGAAACAGGAAGGCUCAAAAAGAAACAAUGGCCAGCGGCCCAGGAUACGCAAGGACCAGUCAGGAGUGCCUCACCCAGGUUGGCCAACUUCUGAGGCGUGUCCAACUACUUCCAGUCUUGUGUCCGUUCCAGUAA